GUACGGGUGGUUUUGGCUUCCACCCAUUUAGAGACAUAAUCAACUGCAAGUAAAAUGUAUAGGAAACCAAAAGAUGAGAGAAAAGUACUCAUAAAAUCUAUCCCCCAAACAUAAAAAAUUUCAACAAAUAACAUGGGGGCUUGAAGCAUUUGAUCCUUACGAAAAAUAUUUUUCACCCUUUGACACCUAUCACAGAAUUUGCAAAAUAAGUACGAAUCUUUAAAAAGGGUGGGCUAGUAAAAAUCACUCUCUAACACUUUGCGAGCUAUUCGCUUGAGUCCAAAAUGCCCUCCACAAGCAAACGAAUGACAGAAAUUUAAAAUAGAGUGAAAUUCACCUGUACUUACACACUUUCUUAGCACUUGAUCCGAACAUUGUCUCCAAAGGUAGGGGUCGUCCCAAAUGUAGUAUUUGGCAUCACUCUUCAAUUUAUCUCUCCUAACAUUUGGCCACCCUGCAGGCAAUUGAUUAGUCACUAAAAAAUUUACUAUAUCGGCGUACCAGGGUGUAGACGAAUCAACGGCAAGAAGUUGCUCCUCUGGGAAUGUCUCCCUCAAUGGUUGUUCUUCCUUAUGUGUCAGCAAACGGCUCAAAUGAUUGGCAACCAAAUUCUCUACCCCACUUUUAUCUUUUAUCUCCAAGUUGAACUCUUGCAGGAGUAGGAUCCAUCUGAUAAGUCUCGAUUUUGCAUCCUUCUUUGUCAUCAAAUAUCUCAAGACUGCAUGAUCAGAGAAAAUUGUUACUUUUGCACCUAACAAAUAAGGUCUAAAUUUUUCUAAUGCAAAAACCACAGUUAGUAAUUCUUUCUCUGUUGUAGAAUAGUUGAGUUGACCUCCAUUCAACGCAUUUGAUGCAUAAUAGACUGCAUGAGCCGCCCUGCCAAUUCUUUGCCCCAACACAGCUCCCACUGCGUAGUCACUCGCGUCACACAUAAUUUCAAAUGGGAGGCUCCAGUCUGGAGGUUGAAUGACGGGCGGUGAUGUUAACGACUCCUUCAAUUUGUCAAAUGCCAUCUUGCACUCCUCGGUGAAGUCAAAUGUUACAUCCUUCUACAACAGUUUGAACAGGGGCACUCUAAUUUUGGAGAAAUCUUUGAUGAAUCUCCUGUAGAACCCUGCAUGACCAAAAAAGGAGCGUACUUUUCGUACACUUACGGGGUAAGGUAAAGCAGAAAUAAUAUCGACUUUUGCUUCAUCUAUUUCUAUUCUCCUAGUCGACACUACAUGCCCUAAGACAAUACCAUACUCCACCAUAAAAUGAUAUUUUUUUCAAUUAAGUACCAAAUUUGUUUCUAUGCAUCUUUUUAAAAUCAAAUCUAAGUUAUCAAGGCAUUCAUCAAAACUAUCCCCAUACACACUAAAAUCAUCCAUAAAUACCUCAGUAAUCUUUUCUACAUACUCAUAAAAUAUACUUACCAUAUACCUCUGAAAAGUCGCCGGAGCAUUGCAAAGGUCGAAAGGCAUCCUCCGAUAGGCAAACGCGCCAAAUGGGCAGGUGAAUGUAGUUUUCUCCUGGUCCUUCGGUACUAUCGCGAUCUGGAAAUAAUCCGAAAAAUCAUCAAAAAACAGUAAUAGACACGACCAGCUAACAUUUCUAUCAUCUGAUCAAUAAAUGGGAGAGGAAAGUGGUCCUUCUUUGUCACAGCAUUCAGACUCCGGUAAUCAAUGCACUGACGCCAUCCUGUGGGUUUCCUCACUGGGACUAUCUCGCCCUCCUGGUUCUCUUUUACGGUUACUUCUGCCUUUUUCGGGACUAUUUGGACUGGGCUCACCUACGGACUGUCUGAGAUGGCGAAAAUGAUCCCCACUUCCAAGAGUUUAAAUAUUUCCUUCUUUAUCACUUCCAUCAUUAGUGGGUUCAAUCUCCGUUGCGCAUGUCUUACCUAUUUUCCAUCAUCUUCAAGCUGGAUCUGAUGCAUGCAUAAGGAGGGCUAACUCCCUUGAUAUCUGUUAUGUUCCACCCAAUCGCCUCCUUAUGAUUUCGAAGAAGACGAAUCAGGUUGUCUUCUUGUCUUGGUGACAGAUGUGCAGAUAUGAUGACCGGCAGUGUCUCUUUGUCCCCGAGAAAAGCAUACUUCAAAUGCUUUGGGAGAGGCUUGAGCUCCAAUUCAGGUGCGUGCACAAUAGAAUGCAACAAUUUCGCCAGAAUUUCUGGUACAAAAAGAGAAGUAAGCUCAUAUCUUGGAGAAAUUGGUGGAAGCGAAUGCAGUGCUUCAACUGCACGAUAUAACUCAUCACUUAAUCCUGCAUCAGGAGUUGCUCCCAACUCGAGAUACUUGGCUAAUGCCACUGCCAGUGCAUCGUCCCCAUCCAAUUCAAACGUUUUCUGCACAAGGGGCUCAAUAACACUUAAAACAAAAAUGGAGUUAGCCUCAUCCAGGUACUUCAUUGCAUCAAAAAUAUUAAAAUUUACAAUUUCUCCAUCAAACUCCAUUGAUAAGGUACCCUCAUUUACAUCUAUUUUCGUCCUAGUAGUGCUUAAAAUGGCCUACCUAACAAAAUAGGUGACAGAUGUAGUGCCCUUUCAUCCCCCAUGUCUAGGACAUAGAAAUCUGCAGGAAAAACUAACUCAUUGACCUGUACCAAAAUAUUUUCAACUAACCCUUCUGGAUAAGCAUUGGUACGGUCUGCAAGUUGGAUUAUAAUGCCUGUGCCUUUUAGUGGGCCAAGAUUAAGAGAAGCAUAAAUUGUUUUAGGCAUAACAUUAAUUGAUACCCUCAAAUCCAACAUCGUUUUCCUAAUUGGGGUACCUCCUAUCUUGCAGGGAAUGGUGAAUAUACCUAGGUCUCCACAUUUUGGUAGGAGUUUCCUUUGAAGCAUAGCUGAUACAUUUUCUCCCACCGCCACUCUUUCGUCACCCUUCAACUUCCUCUUGUGGGUGCACAAAUCCUUCAAAAACUUGGCAUACUUAGAUAUCUGCUUGAUUGCAUCCAGUAAGGGAAUGUUAAUCCCCAUUUUUUGGAACACAUCCAAAAGCUCUUUUUUCUUCUCUACUUUCUUUGUCUUCUCUAACCUGCAAGGAAAGGGGGGGUAAGUUAGAUUUAAUAGUGGGUGGAGAAGUGAAGGUUACCUUAUGAUCCUUGCGAAUACGUCAUUCCUCUUCAAUUUUCUUUUCUAUCUCCUUCUCACUUUUGCUUUUUGAAUUUUCCACUUUAGCCCCUUCCAGUUCCUUGCCACUCCUUCAGUGUCAUGACACUUACAUUUUUGGGAUUUAUCUCGGGUUGAGAUGGUAAUUUUUCAUGGACGUGGGACUGCAGGCGAUUGAUGGCAGUUCCCAAUUGGCUUAUUCGAGUAUCCAUAUCUUUCAUGUCUGCUCUGGUGUCCUGCUGGAACUGAGUGGUACUCAUGGUUAAGGCUCUAGUUUCUUGCUGGAGUUGGGCCAUAUUCGUGGUCAAUGACCUGGUCUCCUGCUGGAGCUGAGUAGUAGUCAUGGCCAGACUCUUGACAAUAUCCUCCAGAGAGCUACCUGAAUUGGCGGACGAAGGUUGAGGCUUUUGCUGCCAUGGUUGCUGAAACCCUGGUGGACGAUUUGAAAGUGAAUUUGGUUGCCUGUUCCCAUAACUAAGGUUGGGUGGUCCCUCCAACUCGGAUUGUAUGUAUUGGAGUACGAGUUAUACUGCCUGCGUGGCGCGAGCACGCUUCCUACCAUGUUUACCUGUUUCGCCCCGUUCUCUUGUAAAAAGGGGCACGUGUCCGUGCAGUGGUCCAUACUAGUGCAGAUUUCACACACCUUCACUCGUGGUGUGUUCCCCAUGGCUAAUUGCCUAACAGCGGACGUCAACUCUGACAAUUGUUGCUGAAUGGAUGACGUCUCUAUCUCAUUGACCCUACGAGUGGGGUUAAUCUCACGGUAGUCAAACUACUGAGAGUUCUCUGCCAUGACUUCAAUAAGCUCCCACGCCUCCUUCGAUGCCUUGUUCGUCAAGGUUCCUUCACUCGCAGCAUCAAUGAUACUCCUGUCAGUUGACUGGAGCCCUUCAUAGAAGUACUGGAUCAAUAGUUGCUCACUAAUUUGAUGUUGCAGACAUCUAGUGCAUAACUUGUUAAACCUUUCCCAAUAGUCGUAUAAGGACUCCCCGGAGUACUGCUUGAAGCUGCAUAUUUCCUUUCUCAAACUCGCAACCCGGGAUACGGGGAAGAAUUUUUCUAGAAAUUUCUUUUUCAAUUGUGCCCACGUGGUGAUACUACCAGCAGGGAGAUGGUAUAGCCAAUCCUUCGCUGCAUCCUUGAGAGAAAAGGGGAAAGUUCUAAGUCUUAUUUGCUCCUCAGUGACCCCAAGAGGUUUCAUAUUAGAGCAAACUAUCUCGAACUCCUUGACAUGUUUGUGGGGUUUUUCACCAGAAAGACCAUGGAACGAAUGUAGGAGGUGAAUCAACCCCGACUUCAGCUCGAAAGCGGUAUUCUCAGCCAAAGUGGGGAAUGUGAUGCACAAGGGCUGGUGAGUCAACUCCGGGGCAGCCAACUUCCUUAGUGAUUGGGUGUUGGCCAUGCUAAAUUCGUCUUCUGCUGGCUCGUUUGCAGUAGAUAAGUGCCCUUCUUUUCGUCUCUUGAUCUCUUGCCUUCGCCCACGCGCUGCCUUCUUAACCUCAGGAUCGUAUACCAAUUCACCUGUGCGAGAAGAAUGGGGCAUAAACUAGCAAAAAUAUCAAGAAGAAAAAGAAAAAAAACUGAACUCAAAAAGAAAUAAAUAUUUCAAAUGACAGUCCCCGACAACGGCGCCAAAAAUUGACAGGUGCCGAACCUGUGCAAUAAUAAUAAAUAAAAUCUAAGUACCACCUAAAGCAGUCAAUAAUCAAUUCUAGUACUGAAGCAGGGACUCUAGGUGUGCAAUGGGUUACUUGAUUCACCCUGUUCCUGAAGAGUUUGCUUAAUCCAAUAUACAUGAAUUAAUUAUUUAACUGAACUCACAAACAAAUAGACAGUGGUAAGCAUGGUCGUCUCCUCAGGGACUGGAGAAAAAUUUAUUUCUUACCAAGUCAAGAUUAAUGGGAGGUUUUGAGAUUAAAUGCUAAUUAAACAAAUUAAAUGCAGAAAAUAAUUAAAUAAAAGAAAUAAUUAAGAGAAACUCUAGCCAAGGGUAUACUUCAGAAAUGGUUCGUACACUGAUCAUCGAUUCACAGAUAAUUCCAACAUUUAGUAAUAGAUUAGUUAUAGUUGUCAUGCACGCGAUAAACAACCAACCCUUCCUUAAUUUCUCGAUAGCCAAGGUACGACCGUUAGCUAUUUUUUUAACUCAUAAACAACCCUAGAUACGACCGUAGAAUUAAAUUUUUAGAUUGCAUUAAUAAUUAGAAAGGUCCAAUCCUAACCAACAAACACGCUACGAGAGUUCGUUUAAGUUAGAUCAUAUGCUCCCCUGACAUAAAUCUGAUUACGCCAGUUGCUACUAAGAUAGAGAUAACGAACAAUUACGGAUUCAAUUACCCCUAUUUAGCAAAAAUAGCCUAUAUGGAUAAUUAAUUAUUGCGCACUAAUCAAUCAUACACAAGUUCAUAGCAAUUAAAAGUAAGGAACAUAUAAAUAUCAAUAAAUGAAGAAAAUAAUUAAAAGCAGCUUAUAUCUCACAGUAGUUGUUGAACCAAUUCGUCAAUUGCCCCCUUGAUUAGAAUUAGGGAUUUAGUUCCCCAUAAUUAAUGUACAGGCCAUGCGGACAAGGUUGGAAGAAGCCAUCGAUUCCUUAAUCAAAGCGAACGAAAGAAAUUGCCCCUCGUUAAUUCCGGUCAACCGAAGAAAGAAAGGGGACAAUCGAUUAUGGUGGUUUUCAAUUGUUCUCCUAAGCUAACCGUAUAGAGAGUGCACACUUUCAAUUUUCUUCAGUCAAGGCCAGGGUGAAAAGCAAUGUCAAAAGUCCACAGUUGCAGCUCCUCUUAGCUUUCUUUCUUUCCUCACAAGACAUACGAGAGAUUGGGUUUCAAUCAAUUGAUUUCUCCAAAUCAAUUCACACAAGAUAGAAAAGCCAGAAUACAAAGUCAACAAUUGCGGCCUUCUUGUCUCUUUUUUUCCCCGUUACAAAGCCACGGCCAGCCCCCUUUUUUUAAGAACAAAGGGAACGAAAAAGGAAGAAAACCUAAACCAGACAAGAGGUAAAAAAAUUGUUUUCAGCCAGCCCGCUCUCUGGAGUCUAAUACCUUCCCCUAUCCGACCUUCCAGGAGGGGCUUUUUUUUUUCUCCUCUCGAGAAGUGGUCUUUUACAAAAUUAAAACGAGACUCUCUAAAAUAAAAUAAAAUAAAGUCUAUUACAAUCAAAUUUUCUCAGCUUCUCAAGGGGGCCCCACGUGCGACAAAUCUUCGAAAUUUUGACUUUAAGUACUUUUUAGCAUCAAUUCCUGUAAUUAGUAUCAAAACAAAAUAUCAGUAGAAUCCACCCAAUUAAUGAAAAUAUUUAGUCAGAUAAACAUGCAUUAAUGCCCAAAAUACCCCGCUAAAACGCACCCUAUCAUUAUUGCGGGAAAACUCAGCGUCAACGUUGGUGGACCGACAAGAAACAAUGGGCACACUCGAUGUCAAUUUCGGUGAUUUUUUUUUUGGUUUUAUUGGAAAAAUAAACGUUUAUGUGGUUUUAGCUCAAGUUAUCACUAUGGCUCACGACAUCCCCGAUCAGUUACUGAACAUCUAUAUAUUGUACAUUGUUCAUUGUAAAAUAUGUAAUCGAAAAUAAUUGCCUUGUUUGGCAGACAAGUUUUUCUGCUACAAGUUUUUUAAAAACUUUAAUUAUAGUAACUUCAAAAAAAUUUUCAAAAUUUUUAAAUUAUACACUUCAAAAUAUUCAAAAAAAAACACACUUCCAAAAUUUUUUAAAAAACUUUUACAGUAAAUUAUAGUAAAGUUUUAGACAAACACCUAAAAAACUUAUUUGCCAAACAGGGUCUAAGAGUGGUGCAAAUUAGGAAGGAUUUCCGCAACGAAUGUUGUCUGUAUUCGUUAACAUACCGAUAUUUCACUCAAUCUAUCAUAUAUAUAUAUACACACACCAAUAAUAAUUAUUUUUUCUUACAUUUAUAAAUUUUUUAAAAUUAAUCUCCUUAUAUAUAUUAAUUAAUUUUAUAUUUUUAAAAUUUUAACACUUGAAAUAUAUUUUAAUGCAUGCCCACAAGACACUCGCUAAACAAAUCGAAUUAGAAAAUCACGGCCAAGUGAGUCAGGCAGGCAAAUGAUCUCAUUCGUCUAAGUGUGUUGCUAUUUGAUCACAUAUAGGUCCCAUUUGGCAAGUGAGUUUUUUGGAUGUUUAUCUAAAAUUGUAUUGUAAUUUACUGUAGAAGUUGUAGAAAAAAUUUUUGAAGUGUAUAAACAUAUGGAUAUUUCGAAGUAUAUGGUUUAAAAAAUUUGAGAAGUUUUUUAAAAUUAUUAUAGUUAAAAUUAUUUAAAAACUUGUAGCAGAUAAACUUGAUAAAAAACUUGCUUAAUAUCUUCAUAUAACUGUGAUUUUAGUGCAUAAUCUACGAAAAUUUUCCUUUCCUAUUCUAUCUUUUGUCCCUGCUGACCUCGGGUCCUGACUGCCAUUGUUCAACCUUCACUUUAUUCAAUUAGUACCCUCAAAAUUAACUUCCAAGUUCCAGCAGGUGGAAAAAUUUCUAAGAUGGAAUUUAGGUCCCCCACAUUCAAAGGUUUAUUACUACUACACACCCAUAAAUGUCAUGCAAUAAUUUCACUCUGCUUCUAUAGGCCCACCAAGUUCAUUGAAUUAUUGUACUACUACCCAGCCAGGAAAGUCAUGAUCAAUUUCACUCUAGUUUCUCCUCUAAGUAGUCCCAUCUCCCUUGCUAAAAAUCUUGCACUUGCAAAAUAACUGGCCAAACAGUCCAAUGCAAACUACAUCUGAUUAAUUGUAACUCUCUAACUCAAGCAGUAUGAACUAAUCAACUCUGUACUAAUAUGAAUGGAGAAACUUUUUCUUGUUGCGGUCAAUUUUAAACAGCAUAUAUAACUUUGCAAUUAAGGCUAAAGAUUAGACUGAAAAAAGAAAUAGUGGGCAUACUCAGUGUCUUGUCCAUUAAAUUUUUUUUGGUAAAAUAAAUAUUUAAAUGGUUUUAACGCUAAUAACCACCACAAGUCAAGACACGUCCCAAAAUCAUACAUUUAGGGAUGGCAAUGGGACAGGUUUGAGGUGGAGGAAUCCUCACUCAUCCCCCAUCCCGACUAACCUCGUUACCCUCGCAGGUGCACCUGUCCUGCCCCAAUGCCAUUUUUAGUUUUUAUUUAGUCUUAUUUUUUCUCUUUAUAUAUAUAUAUAUAUAUAUAUAUAAUGCUAGUAAUAAUUUUAUUGAUCAUUCUUUUUAAUUUUUAGCAAAAAAUCCAGCAAUCGCCGUGAAAAGUAUGGAUGUCAGGUUCUUUAAAGAAGCAUCGAUGUCCAUGAUGUUGAAUUAGUGCUUAUUGAGUUAGUUGUUGAAAAGGAACACAGCGAAAUGACUCAUUCUCUGAAAGCUUUCAAUGGUUGAAUGUUAUCCAUCAACUUCUGUUUCAGAACUCAGAACAAUGUGAUUCAAAUUAGAUUAGGCAAGCAUUUGAGGAUGAAAUCCAUAAGUUUGUUAGAGUUUUAGUUAACUGCAUUUAAUUUGAUCCGAGAAAAGGUCAUCCAUGCUAAAAAGUGUACAAAAUGUUGAGCUAAAGAUGUGUCUUCGCAAAUGAUUCAGGACUGGUGGGAAUUUGAAUAUGGCUUUCCCAGCAUGGAUGAUUUUUCCUUUUGUUGAUCUUCAGAACAGUGUUUCCAUAUCCACUUAUUGGGAUACUUAUAACGUUUAGAUAUAAGAAUACCAUUUAUAAUACUGAUAACGAGACAUAAUGGAAGCCCAAUACUCCCCACGAACUACGGGCGCAUGCACGAAUUGAUCUUUUAACUUGUCUGCAUAAUAACUAGUGAACGUAGAUGGGUUAAGUGCGCACAAUUCCGUUAUGUUUUGCAGGUAGUGGCAUUUGAACACAGAAAAUCAACAUAUUUUAGGGUUUGUUUGCUUGGAUGUAAAAUCUUUUCAUGGGAAAAAUAUUUCAUUGAAAAUCAUUUUCGGUUGAACAUUUUUUUUUUUUAUAAUUAUUUUCAGAUCUUUGAUUCCCUUCCUGAAAAUUUUGGCUUCAUAUAUUACGCACUUUUCUCUUCAACUUGUACCGAUCUUCCACUCUAUUUUACCACUGCUUCCCACGUACCCAACUCCCAUUACACAACUAGUAUUUUGACCAGUGCUAAGCACGAAUUUAUAUUUAAUACAAUAAUAAUACUAAUAAUAAUAAAUAAAUUAUUUUUUAUUAAUUACACGAAAAAAAAGUUAAGAAAUCAAAAGAGUGCUACUUUUGUAUCUAAUUUUUAUUGUAUUUAUGUACCUUGUCUAAAACUUUAAAGUAUAUUAAAAAAUAUGAACAAAGAUCACAAAAAUACCUAAAGAAAUACUAAAAGUGCAUCAAACACAACAUUAUUAACCCCCCCCCCCCUCCAUGUGUCUUCCUCUUUGUGCCACUUUCUCUUAACAUUCCACUACUCUUCAUUACCCUCUUUCUUACCUUCUUAAUUCAAACUUCCCACAUUCCUCCAACUUUUUUCCCUCCCACAAACUCUACCUUCCCUUCACCCUACUCUGCUUUUUUCAAAUUGUGCAAUCUCUUACUAAUUUCGUAAUCUAUUUCCUGCCAUCCUAUUGUUCUUUCCACCCAUUUAUAGUUAUAAAUAGUGACCAAUUUUGCAACUUGUUCUUGAACAAAUGAGUUUGGGUAUGCCAUCUACUUAGGUUCAAAUGGAUAACCUAAUGACACCCAUUAAUUAGUGACUAUUAAAUGGAAGGAAUGGCAUCACUUAUUUAGAGCUAAUUAAAUUAGAUGUAGAUUCAAAUUCAAUCGUUAGUAAGUAAAUUUAAAUCACUACCAAUUCAAUAAUUAUACUCUACUUUUUGCAAAGGCAUAUUUAAUGUUCUUUUCCUAUUCUUUAAUUUUCAUUAUUUUAAUUUUUGUUAAAUUUCAUCCUACUUCCUCUCCCUUCCAUCAAAGUUUUAAUGAACUCCUUGAGUGUUAAUUGAUUUUAACAUUCACACCUAAAUUAUUUUUAGAUUCUUAUAGAGUGAUAAAAUUUGAAACUCCUUAUGAUCACCACUAUUGAUUCUUCCAUGUAAUUUGAGAAUUUUGGCAAAGUAAAAAAUGAAAAAGUUCCUGAGCCAUAUUUGAGAAAUUUCAACUUACUAGGUUAAUAAGUGUAAAUGCUGCUCUUACGAGGGAAUCAAGAAUGAUUGAACAAAAACAUUUCAACUUAAGUGUGUUUCGAUAGCUAUUAUUUGGCUUCAAAUUAUUUGUUUGCAUCACAAACAUAAUUUUCAAAAUACCUUUUUAUCUUUCCAAUCAAUUUUUUAUCUCGCAUACAUUACAUCACAAAAAGUGCUAUAGUAAUUAUUCCAAAUAAUAUUUCAAAUAAUCCCCUAUCCAAUAAGAAAAAAAUCAUAUAUUCAAUAAUUUUCAGCGCGAUCAUAUGGUUGUAACUACAAAUAACCUACCAUGAAAAUACCUAUUUUUAGCUUCAUUUCAUCAUGUGAAUUUCUCGUGAUUUCAUUUUAGCAUCCUUAUUUUUUAAUUAAAACAAUCUUGUGAAAAAGCUUCCUGUAUAAGCAAAAACAAAAGAAGAAUACACAAUGGCAAAUUUUAGUUCAUAGUUAGCUUCCAUGUUCGUGAAAAAUUUUCUAGGAUGGAUUCUAAAUUGUGUCCCCCAUGUUCAAAGUUUAUUACUACACAACCAAAAAAGUCAUGCAGUUAUUUCACUCUACUUUCUUAUGCCAUUGCUUGGAAAAAUGUAAUCUAUAGGUCCACCACAUUCAAUAAUUGUACUACUACACUGCUAGGAAACUCACAAGCAAUUUCGCAAGUCUACUUUCUUAUCAAUAGCAGUACCACUACUUUGUCUUCGUUAAUAGACCAUCUCCAUUGCCAAAAAACCUUGCAUACACAAAUGUUCAAUUUCAAACUCUCCAUAAAACAAAUAAAAAAGAAAAAAGUCAUUUACUUUUGGGAAUGGAAAAAAAUUAAAAAUGUUCCUGCAUCAUAUUCGAGAAAUUUCUACCGAUAAAUAGGUGUAAAUGCGGCUCUUAGAGGGAAUCAUAGAAUGAUUGAACAAAAACACAAUGGAAGUUAUUUCACUCCCAAAUAAGGUAUUUCACAUCUUCAACAAUUUUCAAUGGGAUCAUAUGGUUGUAACUACAAAUAGCCUACUAUAAAAAUGAUAUUGAAGAUGGCAUUCAAAAACUUUGACCCCGAUUGUGAUAUUUCGCAGAAAAAUUUUUAUGUUUUUCACGAACACAUUUUUCAAUUAUUUUUUUACCUCGCAUACGUCAAACUGUUACAAUAUACUUUUUUUUUUUUUUUGCAGAAACUCUUAAAAUAGCAAUCCAAACGGGCUAGAUUUUACUACUUGUGCUGACUCAUCUUGACAAUUAUUGGGUCAUAAACAAUUGUAAUCUAGUGCCAAAAUUUCAAUCUUCUCAACCAUUUCAAGAUAGCAAGAAAAUGCCCCGAAUUCUAUAUAUAUUACUUGUAUGAUUUUUGAGUAUGGGUUAAUUUAACAUGUCCUGGAAGUUAUUUUAACAUCUCCAUCUUUAACUUCAUUUCAUCUUGCGGGUUUCUCAUAAUUUUAUUUUAGUGUCUUUAUAUUCAACUUAAAAUAAUCUUGUGAAAAAAAGCUACAGUACAAGCAAAAACAAAAGAAGCAUGGUAAUUAUCAAACCUUCUCUUUUUCAAUUGGUACAUAUAAAGUUAACUUGCAAGUUCCAACCGGUAAGAUGAAAUCUAAUUUAGGUCCCCCAUAUUCAGAAGUUAGGUCAUGCAAUAAUUUGAGCCUGCCUCUAUAGGUCCAGCACGUUGAGUAAUUGUUCUACUAUCCAACCAGGAAAGUCACGGCCAAUUUCACCCCACUUUCUUAUCAAUUACGGUACUGCUCCUACUUUCUCCUCUAUAUGAUACUCCAUCUUCCUAGCUAAAAGCCUUGCACAUACUGCAUUGUUUUAAUUUUGAUUCAAAUUAUCAUCUUCCUCGCCCGUGUUCUCUUUUUCACCAAACUUGGAUUUGACAGGGUAGGUUCACGAUAAACAGGCACUUUUCCCAUAUUCAUCAGAUCAGCUAUUGCCAGAGAUUUUAUUUUCUCUCAAGUAAGUGCUGAGAUUUGUUCACUUUUCUUGAAGUUCAAGGCUUUUUUUUUUUUUUUUUUUUUUAUAAACAUAGCCUCACCAUAUAAGGGAAUAUCUGCAGAUUCAACGGAUCAACCGUUGCCGGAGUGUUCAUUCUCUCCAAAGUGAGUGCUGAAUUUUUUUUUCUUUUUUUUUCAUACACAUUUUUUGGUUGAAAUAUAAAUGGCUUCCAUGUGUUUAUGACAUUCAUUCUACUAGCAUACUUUCAUAUGUUGGCGACUAGCUUCCAAGGCUAGAAUUUUUGCUUCCUGCUAUUCUUGAAACUAACAAGAAGGGUAAAACACUCAAAAUUGUACAGUGCAAAUGUGCAAUAUGCAUCCCAUGUUCAAAACUCUCUAUUACUAGACAACCCUGAAAGGUCAUGCAGUUAUUUUUUCAUUCUACUUUAUUAUGCCAUUGCUUGGAAAAAUUCUAAUCUAUAGGUCCACCACAUUCAAUAAUUGUACUGCUACAAGGCUAGGAAACUCAUGACCAAUUUAACAGAUCUACUUUCUUUUCAACAACAAUACUACUCCUUUCUCCUCAAUAAUAGAUCGUCUCCAUUGCCAAAAAGCCUUGCAUAUACGAACAGUUUCUACAUUUUUUCUUAAACUUUACUUUUGAGUAAUUAAGUAGCCUCACGAUAUACUAGCAAUUUUCCCAAACUCAACAGAUCAGCUACUCCCAGUGGUUUCUUUCUUUCUUUUAUUUUACUCUCAAGUAAGUGCUUAAUUUUUUUUUCCCUCAAACUUAAAGGAAUUUUUAUUUUUCUAUUUUUUUUUUUUGACGUAGCCUCGCCAGUAUAAACGGAAUUUCUGCAAAUCCAACAGAUCAGCUUUUGCCAGAGUGUUCAUUCUCUCCAAAGUAAGUGCUGAAUUUCUUUUCUUUUUAUUAUUAUUAUUAUUAUACACAUUUUUGGUUGAAAUAUAUAUAUCUGGCUUCCAUGUGUUUUUGACAUUUAUUCUUCUGCUACUAUGUACUUUUAUACGUUGCCGAGUAGCUUCCAGGGCUGGGAAUUAGCUUCCUGUUAUUCUUGGUAGUAUAUCAUACUAGUUUGGAUGCACGUGCUUUGCGCAUAACCCGCGUUGUGUGGUAAUUUUCUUAUAUUGCGUGGUUUUUUUUAUUAUUUUUUUAAUGCUAAGCAAAUUUUAGAAUGAAAGCUUUUCCUUUUUUCUCCGUUAUGGGCAUAUAGAUGAAUAAUCUAUCUUUUGGAAGGGAAUGAUUGGAGUAGGAAAUUCUAGGUUGACAUGCUUUCUAAUAAUAUUCAUGGAUAAGUUUUUAUGCAUAACAUUGUUAAACUUGCAUUUUUUUACAUGAAUUUUCUACUGUAGUUUUUAAAGAGUAAUUUGUGUAUGUAAGACAUUUUGUGUCAUUCUCAUACCUUAUCUUAGUGACGGCGCUUUUUGUCUUUCGAGAGUUUUCUUUCUGCAAUUAAUCAUGAAAAUUUGAUAGAGUCAUAAUUCAUGACAUUUUCUUAGAUCAGAAACUUGAAAUGAGAAACCAAAAAAGAAAAAUUAACAGUCCUUGAAAAGAAAAUGAGAAGUGAAAUAGGGACACUAACUAUCCUAAAGUUUAGGAUAAUGAUACAAUGAUAAUGUUAGAAUACUUCAGCUAUACUAUCUUUUUCGUAUCGAUUGACCCACUAAACUUUUAAAGCUAAUUAAUUGAACCAUUCCGUGUAGUUAGUGGUUAAAAAAAAUGAAACUUUCAGAAUUAGUGGGGAACUUUUGUCACUUUGUUAAUGAAAAAUAGUAUGGCGGAUUAAAUGGGAGUUUAGUAAAAUUAAGUGAAUCUUGAUACAAUUUGUUGGAAAACUUUUUGGAAACUAAAGAAGAAUGGAAAAAAAGGAAUGUCUUAGAAAAUGUUUAACACAACUAAUUCUCACAUUUUCAAAUCUUUUGAGCUAGUAUUAGAAAUACUUUAGUUAGGUGACCAUAAGAUCUGACAUUCGACUAUCAAAUUCUUAAUUUUUUUCUUUCCCAUUGUAAGGCUGAAGUCUCCCAUUCAAAGGGAAAAAAACAGUACUCGUAACUUUUAAGCUUUCUUUAGUUGACAUGAUGUAUCGUUAUAAAAUAGUAACCCAAAAUUUCAGUAGCUAAAAAUAGCCAUGCAAUCACACACACAAGGCAUGUAAAAAAUCUUCAGUUCUUCGUUUAUUUAUUUACUUUUGCAAGAUGGCGCAGUAGCUAUUCCUUCAUGCGGUUGAAGUGCCUACAAUCAAUUGGAAGUUGCUGAAAAGUGAUAAAAUCUUCCUAAUAUAAUUUCCAUGAUUUUGCAUUUUAGCUUCAGUCGUAGACUAGGCAUCUUCUUUCAAAAUCAAGUCAUCGUUUGGCUUUUUCUUUUUAAGAUUCCAUCUUUUGCUUUGGUUUGCUCUCUCUUUUUUAAAGAUUAUGACCCCAAAGAGGAACGGGUCAUCAAAAAGGAACCAAAGUGAAGUAGGACCUUGCUAGGAAGUCAUGGUUUUGCUCUGUUGAUAAAAAAUUUGCUAUUUUAUAAAAGGAUCAUAAUUGUAUAAUUACCCUUGUAAAUUUGAAAAUCAAAGACACAAUAAUGUAAAGUCAAAUUUUUACUAUCUCCCUUCUCUGCACGCUUUUCAACCACAAACUAUUAGGACCAGGAUUCAUAAUGUUUCUGUCUUACCUUGAAACAUUCAAAAUUUUAAAAAUCUGCAUGAACAUCUAUCACAACUAAAAGAGGAUGGUACUGGUUAGUCAAAAAAGUAAAAAUCAAAUCGCAAGUAACUUAUCAGUUAUGACUAUACCUGGCAAUUGGGCGGGUUGGACGGAUUUUGGACGAGUUGAUAUUGGGUUUUUACUUAAAUGGAUUAUACCCAACCCGCCCAACUUUAAAUCGGGUUAGUUUUGGGUUGGGUCAUAUUGGGUCAUCUCAAACCCAAGACCCAAAUAUGACCCAAUAUAUUAAUUAAUAGAUUUUGAUACAUAAAUUCUCUCAAAUAUAUUUUUGCAUACAAAAAUUUUUUUUCACACACUAAAACAAUUUUGGUCCAAGUUGAAUAUAGCAUGAAAAAAUGUUAUACCAAUAUUAAACAAGAUCCAAUCAUGCCUUAAUUAAAUUGAAACUUGAUAAGAGAGAUACAAUUCUCAACCAAUUAGUUCAAAUAUCACUAUCCAAUUCAUUUGAGAUUUGUGAAUUGUGACUUUUGGGUUCCUUUUAUUCAUUAUUAAAUAACCUCACUUUGCACUUUUUACACAAUUAUUGUGGUUGAAUAUCAAUCUUGUCUUGUGAUAAACCUUCAUGUCAAGGGCCAAAAAAGGGGAAAAAAAAGACGAAGAAGAAAGAAAAUUGGACCCAUGAAUGAUCUAAUUGACAAAUUUUAAUUAAUAAUUGAGCAACUUAUGAAAGCAAUUAAAAAUUUGCUUGCAUAUUUUGCUAGAUUUUUUAGGAACUAGUAAAUGCUUAAAAACACGAGUUGCUAAUAGAAUCUCUCCGUCCAAAAGAUAACAAUGGAAAAAAAUAUGUAUAUGUACAUUAACAUGCAGUUGAACAGUAAUCUUCACAAUCCUAAAACCAAUUAGUAAAGGAACAAGAUGUGUAUGGACUUGCAAGUUUGCUAUCUUAAAGGGAAAAAAAAAAAAAAAAAAAAACAGCAAGCGCGAUGCAGUUGACAAGAAUGUGCCAAAAUGCUUAAAGUUAAGAAAACGGUGGUGGAUUGAAAAUUCCCGACGAGAGGCCUCCAUUGUUUUUUUAAGUUGGGUAAUGGGUACCCAACUUAAUUACCCAAACCGCCCAAAAUACAUGUGAGUUUUUAUUAUCCAACCUAAAAUUAACCCAACAUCCAAUUUACCCAACCCAGCCUCUUAAAUUAGUGGGUGGAUUGGGUGGAUUGUUGGAUUUUGGGUAUAAUUGCCACCUCUAGUUAUGACAUCCAAUUCUUUAGUUGGCCUGAUUUGAAAUUGUAAAUCAUCGUGGCACAUUAACAAAAAAUUACACAAAUUACAGUAGUUAAAACACACACACAAAAAGGCAUAUACUACACUUUUUCGUCCAUCAUUUAUUUACUUUUGCAAGAGGGUGCAAAAGUAAAUCAUACGAAAGGUCCUGAAGGGUGAAGACCCCACGGACAGCAAAGUCUUUCUAAUAGCUUCCACGAAUUUGCAUUUUAGCUUCAUUUGCAGACAGGGCACCUUCGUCUUUCAAAAUCAAGUCGUUGUCUGGCUUCUUCUUUUUAAUUUCCAUCAUUUUGCUUUAGGGUGUUCUUUCUUUCUUGACAAUUAAUACUUCAUUUCCCUACAGUUUCUUUCUUCUGAGGAACCACUAUCGUGGAUCAUAGGUGAAAGAAGCAACACAAUAUCACUAUAAGUAAAAGAGUACAAGAGAGAGAGAGCACAAAACCCUACAAAAUAAUUCCAAGGUCCAAAUGUAUCUAAAACUAAAAACACUUGAGAUCUUUUUUUUUUUUUUUUUUUUUUGGAAGCAUAACACUCGAGAUUUUAAAGAAGCACACAAAUGUCUUAUAAAAUCAAAAUUCCUAAAGUUUAGGAUAAUGUUAGAAUACUUCAGAAUUUUGCUAUACCCUCUUUUUCGUAUGGAUUGACCCACUAAAAUUUUAAAGCUAUUUAAUUGAACCAUUCCGUCUAGUUAGUGGUUAAAAAGCUGGGAACUUAUAAAACACAGCAGCAGAUUGCAAUUAGUGGGGAACUUUUGUAGCUUCGUUAAUGAAAAAUAGUAUGGCAGACUAAAUAGGACUUUAGGAAAAUUAAGUGAAUUUGAUGCUAUUUGUUGGCAAACUUCUUGGAAACCGAAGAAGAAUGGAAAAGAGAAAUAUCUUAAAAAAAGUUAAACACAACUAAUGCUCACAUUCUUAAAUUUUUUGGGGUAGUAUUAAAAAUACUUUAGUAGGUGACCAUGAGAUUUUUCCUACUAACUUUAAUCACAUGCCAAAUAAAAUGUUGCUUUUUAAAGAACAUACCAUUGCAGGUGAAAAGUACUGCCACAAACUCGAUUUGUCAAGUGACAAGAUCAUUACUUCAGAAAAGGGUAUGCUGAUUUUUGCCUCUAUCUUCCGCACUUUUCAGAAAGAAAAAAAAAAGGAGCAUAAUCAUUUAUAUGAGUUAAUAGUGACAGAAAAAAAAAAGAGUAUGUCCCUUUAAAGGAUAAACCAAAAAAAGGGUAUAAUCACUUAUUUGUGCUUUAUGAUUAUCCUAUUUGAACUACUCCUCUAUUUUCUUUUUCUUUUUUUACACUUUUCCUAUUUUUUCUUUUGACAAUGCCGUUCUUGAUAAUCCCUAAAAUACUAUCCUCUUCCAGUUUGUCUUAUUUUUCUCACAGUAUUUUUUUCUAGUUUCUGGUUGCUUUUAAGACAUAAAGAUAUAUGGAUUAGAAUUUUAUUAAUGUCCUUGAAAUCACAAAUGCACUCAAAAAUUUGUGGAACUUAUCAUCUUAUAAAUAUUGGUAAGACUAAAAACUGCUUAGACUCUAUACACUAAACAAAAAUUUAGUAUUUUUCUUUAUUUGAGCUAUUUAAUUAUUCUCAUUUUUAUAACAACUCCUGUACUCUAGAUUCUAAAAGAAACAAAAUUUUUCCAAUCUCUGUGAAUUCGAUCCUACUAACCACUAUAUAUAAAAUCUGUAUUUUUAUUAGAAUAAAUUUUUAUUAUUACAUAGGCCCGACACUUGUCAACUAUCCCCUUCCAGUUUGUCUUAUUUUUCUCACAGUAUUUUUUUCUAGUUUCUGGUUGCUUUUAAGACAUAAAGAUAUAUGGAUUAGAAUUUUAUUAAGGUCCUUGAAAUCACAAAUGCACUCAAAAAAUUUGUGGAACUUAUCAUCUUAUAAAUAUUGGUACUACUAAAAACUGCUUAGACUCUAUAUAUUUAGAAAAUAAUGGCCAACAAUAUUAAAUUAUUAAAGUGUACCCCUAAAAAAGUAAAAAAAAAUGACAAGAAAUCUUUCUCACACGACUUUGACAAUUCUUUUUGUAGGAAUGAUAUCAAGAUGACAAACACUUACCGAAAAGAAUAUGGUUUUAGUUGUCAUGGGAUUCAAGUAACUUGAGUAAUUGACUCUCAAAGUUAUGACUAGCAACAAAUUUCACCGGUAAAUUUUAAAUAUUUAACUAAGGUAACUGUUUUGAUAUAGGAAUUUGAAAAAAAAAAAAAGGUAAUAACUCAAUCAAUUGAACUACUGCUUUUUAGCCUAUCACUCCAAAAUAUAUUCAGGAAAAGCCAAUAAAAGAAUUCCUUUUAUUUUUUUGGGAUAAUUUCAGAAACCUCCCCUGAGGUUUCUGACAAUUUCACUGACCUCCCCUGAGGUUUCCACAAUUACACUAACCUCCCUUGAGGUUUCUGAUUUUGUAACAAAAUCAGCCCAUGACCACAAAAGUAAACAUAAAAAAGUGUUUUCAGGAAAGAGAGGAAAUUUUGUUCCCAUAAAUGCCCUUAAGGUAGGUGUACAAGUUAUAUUAGUGAAUUAAUGAAAACUAAUAAAAAUCAGAAAUAAAUAAGAAAAAGUGAGGGGAUGGGUAUGGGAAUCAUAAAAUUUUACUUAUGGAUAUAAACAAUUGGGUAACGCAACCGACCCAAUUAACCCAUCUACCACCACUCAGGUCAUUUCACAAAUACAUUCAUCAGACAAAGCUUUCCUCUUGUCACAAAAAUUCAAAGCAAUGUGGUACAUGUUCACAAGCAAGCAGGUUAAAAUCCCGCCUGCAUAAUAACGUUGAAACCCUGCAAGCGGGAUUCUGUGUUUUUUCUAUUUCAAGGUUAGCUCGCAUGCGGGUUAAUGUUAUAUUUGAGCGCGAGAAGAAAAAAUUGGUAAUUAGGCUCUUUGGGCAUUAUAAGUAAAUAUUUAAAUUAAUGGCAGUUUUAUUACACCAAUAUUAUUGUAUUAUCAUUAUUAUGAUUAUUGUAUUAUUUCUUAUGCAAAUAUAACAUUUAAUUAUUUAAAUUUGAUUUUAUUUUUACAAUUUAUAAAAUUUUUAUCACUUAUAUAAUAUUUUUAAAACCCUAAUACAUCUAAAUUUGAUUUUAUUUUUCAAAUUUAUAAGAUUUUUAUUUAAAAAAAUGGGAUACGGAUAAGAUAUCCGGUUGGUUCGAUUUGCAUAGGUGCAUAUGAGAAUAUCCGAAUACUCUUUAAACCCGCAUGCGGGUUUAAGGAGAUUAUGGCAACUCUCUGACACACUAGUUACCCGUCCAACUUGUGUGUAUUAAAAUAUAUUUAAAUAUUAUAUUUCAUAUUUUUGUUAUUUAGAGUUUAACAAAACAUUAAUAUUGGGUAGAUUUGAGGGAUAUGCAUAAUUUUGCAUAUUUGUAGGAAUAUUAGAAAAUGGAAAAUUUGGGUAAAUUCCCAAAUUUUGGAGGUAAGGUGUAAUCCAAGAACUAAAACAGUCAUUUAUAAAACCUUAACAGUAAUAAGGUGCAAACCAAAACUGCAAUCCAAGAGUAAUAUCAUUACAAAUUUCAUAACCAUACAUUAAAUAAAUAGAAAUGCAAUCCAAUACUAUCCAAAACACCAUCUGCCUUAUCAUAUUUUAGUCCUAUAAUAACACAAAAUGUCUUGGGUAUAAUAGUAAUUUUGCAUUAUAUGAUGUCAGCAAUUGGGUCCCAAGUUCUGCCAGGGGAGGUCAGUGUAAUUGUGGAAACCUCAGGGGAGGUCAGUGAAAUUGUCAGAAACCUCCCCUGAGGUUUCUGAAAUUAUCCCUAUUUUUUUUUUAGUUGGGAUUGCAUGGAUAGAAUAUUACUUAGAAAAACUUUUGUAUAAUUCACUGUAGCAUGUUUUGUAGUAUAAUGUAUUUAAGAUAAAUAAGUAAUUGUAAAACAUGUUUAAGAGCAAUUAAAAAAAUAAAUAUUCUUUUAGAGUCAUCACAAUGAUACGUAACACAUCUGUCCCACAAAUUAGACAUCAUUGCAUAAGUAAAUCAGUAAAGGACAGAUUCACAUGUGAAUAUUGUCCGGAAGUCUGUAAGUUCAGCCCCACACCUUUUAUAUUAACAGAUCUGAACGCGGUUUGAUUUGUUGACCAAUAGUACUGAAUCGCACAUUAUUAAAGUUCAUCAUAUUACGAACCGAUGACCAACUCUAAUUUCUUCCUUUUCUGUACAAGCCACAAGGUCAAGGAGCCUCUGUUCCUUUCCUGAUAUUCUCAAGUUAAAGAAAAGGACUGAAAAUGGCAGAAACAGUUCUCUCUUUUGUGUUAGAUCAGCUCUCAAUUUUUCUGCGUGAAGAGGGCAGAUUAUUGGGAGGGCUUCGCCAAGAGGUUCAACUCAUCAGCGAUGAGUUGGGGCACAUGAGAGCUUUCGUGGGAGUGGCAGAAACAAUAGAAGAAGGUGCUGAUCCCAGGCUCCAAGAAUGGAUCAAGCAAGUACGAGAAGCCGCUUAUGACACCGAAGAUGUUCUUGAUGAAUUCGUAGCUUGCUUUGCUCACCAUCAUGCAACAGGGUUCUAUGGCUCUGUUAGGAAAAUUUUCAACUCCAUAAAGACUUUGCGAGCUCGUCGUAAGGUUGCUGUGCAAAUACAAAGCAUCAAGGCCAGAGUAAAGAAUAUAUCUGAAGGGCAUCAGAGAUACCAAUCAGAAUUCGGCGGUACUACCCAAGCGGCCGAGUCUCUCGCUGCUGUUAACAACACAACAUGGCGCUAUAGCAGGGAUGAUGCACUUCUCGUGGAAGAAGCUGAACUAGUUGGCAUUGACCACCCCAAACAACAGCUAAUUUCUCAACUACUCGAGAGGGAUGAUUCCCAGCUCAAAGUUGUUUCUGUGGUUGGCAUGGGAGGACUCGGUAAAACUACCUUAGUCAAAAAAGUCCACGAAGAUUAGCUAUUAGAAGGCAUUUCCCAGUUCGUGCCUUUGUAACUGUCUCUCAACCAUGCAACUUCCUGGAGCUCCUGAAAGACUUGACUCGGCAGUUACACAAUGAAUUGAAGAAACCAGUUCCAGAAUCGAUUGAGGCAAUGACUGCAAUUCAGCUGAAACAAUGUGUUAAAGAUUUUCUUCAACAACCUGUAAGGUAUGCAAUUGUGUUUGAUGAUGUAUGGGAUGUAGAAUUCUGGAAUGCAAUUAGAUUUGCACUGCCCGAAAAUGGCUAUGGCAAUCGCGUCAUGCUAACAACACGAAAAACCGAUGUAGCCUCUGCAUCUUGCAACAAAUCUCAAGAUUAUGUCUUCAAAAUGGCGCCCCUGUCUUUCGAGGAUUCAUGGACCCUAUUUUGCAGCAAGAUCUUCAAGGAAAAUGGUUGUCCUGCCCAUCUAAUAGAUGUUGCAAAAGGUAUACUGGGGAAAUGUGAGGGAUUGCCCCUUGCGGUUCUUGCAAUCAGUGGGCUUUUGGCUUUGAAAGACUUGAAUAUUGCAGAGGAAUGGGAGAUGGUUCGACGCAGCCUUGGGGGUGAAUUAGAAGGCUGUGGUAUGCUGGACAGGGUAAAAAAGAUACUUUCUCUCAGUUACAAUGAUCUGCCCUGCCAUCUUAAGUCCUGUUUGUUGUAUUUAAGCAUUUAUCCAGAGGAUUUUGAAAUACGUUGUGGUAGACUUGUUCGAUUAUGGUCAGCUGAAAGAUUUGUAGGUAAGAAAGAAGGAAUGACUGUGGAAGAUGUAGGCUACAAUUACCUCAGAGAACUGGUCAAUAGGAGCCUAAUUCAAGUGACCCAAAUUUUUUAUGAAGGAAUCCCCUACGCUUGUCGAAUCCAUGAUCUAGUGCGAGAAAUUGUUCUUUCCAAGGCAAGGGAACAAAAUAUGAUCGCAAUUACUACUGGACAAUACACAAAGUGGUUGUAUGAGAAGGUACGCCGUUUGGUAGUCCAUAGUAGCAGCAACAACACCGAGCAGCACCAAGAAAGCCAAUGUUAUAGCUUUAACCACCUUCGAUCCUUUAUUACGAUUGAAUCCAUGAAUCCACCGAUAUCCAGAGCCUUGUUAUGUAAAGCUUUAAAGAGUAGCAGACUGUUAAAGGUUUUGGAUCUGAGUGAUGAAAAGACAUUGGAGGAAAUCCCAAAUGAGAUUUUCAACUUGUAUCAUCUCAGGCAUCUGAACCUAUAUAGGACAGGGGUUAAAGCAGUCCCGAAAUUCAUAGGAAAGCUUCGAAAUUUGGAGUAUUUGGAUUUGUGUGAAACUGAAGUCAAGGAAUUACCCGUGGAAAUCCUGAAGCUACAAAAUCUUGAGCAUCUUAUGGUAUACCAAAAAGUUGAUUCUUCUGAUGACAGUCAAGGAUAUCAUGGGUUUAAAGCUCCACCAAAAUUGGGAGGACUUCUUGCCCUACAAUCAUUAACAACCAUAGAUGCGAGUAACGGAUCCGUAAUAGUUAAAGAGAUAGGAGCAUUGACUCAAUUAAGACGAUUAGGGAUUUCAAAUCUGAGAAGAGAAGAUGGAAAGGUGCUCUGCUCCUCCCUCGCCACCCUCACUAGUCUUCGGCAACUAAACAUUAGUUUAAUUAGAAAUGAUGGGGGUGAUUAUGAGGUAAUGGAUCUGAAUCAUCAUGAUCAACAACAACAUUCUCUUUCAUCUUCAAUGCCUUCUUCAUUUCUCCAAUCUCUUCGUAUGCUAAUAUUGCAUGGCCGCUUAGAAAAGAUGCCGAAAUGGAUAGCUCAUCUUCAAAGCUUGGUAAGAAUAGAUUUGGAUUGGAGUGGCUUAAGGGAUGAAGAGGAUCUGCUUGAACCCCUCCGCCAUUUGCCAAAUUUGGUUAUUAUUCAAUUUUGUGGAUCUUACCAAGGAGAGGGGUUGUGUUUCAAGGCUGGAGGAUUCCUGAAGUUAAAGAAAUUGUACCUAGAGAAAUUAGAGAAGUUGAAAUGGCUGAAAGUGGAGGAGGGUGCAUUACCCAAUCUCCGCAAACUUUGUCUGGAUACACUUCCAUUGCUAGAGGAGUUACCUUUGGGAAUUCAGCACUCAAGGAAUCUUCGAAAGCUGUAUUUGUCUGGGUUGAGUUCUCAACUGAUGGAGAAGCUAGAGAAUCUAAAUGAAGAGACUGAAGAUUAUAGAAAAAUUGCACACGUUUCUGAAGUUGUCAUUGGAUUGUGGACAGAUGAGGGAUGGAGACUGCACCGGCUGUGGGGGAAGAAUAUGUAAGGCCUUGUUUGGAUUGCGGUUUUUCGUCAGAAAAUUAUGUCGUUCUCGUUUUCCGUGAUCACAUUUCCCUAUGAUCUUUUUCCCUCACAUACAUCAAAUCGUUACAGUAAUUUUUCCAUGAAAAAUCAUGGAAAAUGCAAUCCAAACACAACCUAAAUAUUUCCUUCCUAUUUCUUUUCUUCUUUUUUUUUUGUACGUUUGUUUGUAACUUCUGAGUUUAUAAUUUGCUUUAUCUUUUAUCUAAUUGUAUAAAUAUUGUGUUGCAUAAUCUUGUUUAUUUUUUUCUUUAAUUGAUUUAGCCAAUAAUUUAGAGGUGCCUUAGCAUCUUGCACACAAUUUCAAUAUACAAUCUAAAACAAUAGCCUAAAAUUUUGGUACAAAAUUAAAACAUGAAGCCUAUGUUUAUACGCUGGUAUGACUUAGAGAUUGAUUUCUCUAGUAGUUAAUAAUAUAGUAAUUUUUGGACAAAUAAUGGUUGUAUCAGUCCUUUAUGCUCAUCCAUCUGUCCUUUUGGACAAAUUAAUAUUCUCAAGUAAAUUAUUUUCAAUCAUGCCCACUUAUUACAGUCAUGAAAACAAUUUCUUUUUUCCAUGAAUUGAUAAUCGAAUGUUCGCACUAUAAUGCCCAAUCCACCAAGGUUCAUUUUUAAACUAAAAAUAUUGAAGUUGCUAAAAUUGAGAACUUCUACAUCACACAGAAGUAUUUGUUGAUGAAUGCAGUCAUACUCAUAGUCAAUAUUUGUAAGGCAACACAGAAGUAUAAAAAAGCAAAUAAUAGUGCUUUGUUUGGAAAGCAAUUUUUCUCCCAAGAAAGUGUCUGAGAUUUGUAUUUUACAAGUCAUGUAACUUGUAAUGAUGCCUACAACUGUCAAAAUUACGUAUUUAUAUCAUAGGAUAUGCUUGCAUCCUAUGCAUCAUAGGAUGCUUUUCCCUGCAAAUUCCUGAGAAAAAUUCUAUGCAAACAACUCAAAGGGAAGAAGGUCAACCCAAUACCGGGAAGGAUUCACAUGAUUCAGAUAUUGCCGUAUCAUGGGUCUGAUUCAUGUGUCCCUAUCCUUCAAGUUGACUAAACCAGUCUGUAAUUGUUCUUGUGAGGACUCUAGUGUCGUUCAAAGAAAUUGUCUUAAGACCUUGAGCAACAGCAUCUACAGGCGAGUAUAUAUCUCCCACUUGCCAUCUAGGUUCCUGAUUGUCCAACAAAACAAAUUUCAGCAUAAAUGGAGAAUAAAAAGAAGAAAUUUAGUUAGAGAACAAUCGUUGACCAUGUCAUUUUCUGAAUCCUGAUUGUUCUGAUUACCGUGCCACUUUCCAAUUUUUUAUCAAAAGUGACUUAAAGAUCAUGCUAAGUAAUACAUACACAAUUGGCACAAGAUACAAGGCGCAGCACAACAUGUCAGCAUAAAUUCCCAGAAAGCAAAGGACUAAAGAUUAUGAUACAAAAGGAGUACAAAGUUACUGCAGCAUACCUGUAUGCAAGGUGUAAUAUGAGUUCCAUUCAAUAUUAUUUUCUGUAGUUUUGCACCAAUAGAUUCCACUCGAGGCUUCAGUGUCUCUUCAAGGAGAUCAGUCUGAUCAAUUGCAUCAACAUUGAACUUGACCUGAAAAAAGAAUCAGAUAGACUUAAAAGUGAACAUUGAAGUUGGAGCAAUUCAAUCAAUUCUGGUACUUGAAUAACAUGUUCAAACCAGUAAUGUAUGCUGAACAUUGUAUGACUUCUGGAAACAGUCAAGAUUCUCAGAGGGUGUUGGCCUGAACUCCGAAAUUCCUUCAGCAAGCUGAAGUAACAUCCAUUUGAGGCAGUUUGAGGAUUAGAGAAUGACCAGAAGACAGAAAGAGCGACAAUGCCAUUUCACCAUUUGACAGAAAAAUGAUGGAGAUAUAGACAUGUUCAGCCACAAAGGUGGCAGGAUUUGUUUUCCAGGUUGGAUAGACAUCAUCAUGUAAGUGGGGUGUCACCUGAUUAAAAACAGCCGGCAAGUGAUCAACAAACUUGUUGACUGACACUGCCACUUCUGGAUCGUAAUCUGGAAUCAUGGUUCCAGCAGUAUCAAGUAGUACUUUCCAUGCAUCUGCUGUAUAUUAGUAUCAAUGACAGGAGAAGGCAUUAGAAGCAGAAAGAUGACAAUUUGAUUCAACCUCAUCAGCCAUAUGUCUUCAAUCAAAUGAAGCAUUGUAUCAUACCUAUGAAAAAAAUCCCAAUUUGAUUUUAAAACCUGUACCAGGAUAUUUUCAUUACUACUUGAAGGCUUGCCUUGGUUUACAGAGAUACCUUAUAUUUGGUAAUUGUGAAACUUGGGGAGGAUUUAAUAAAAGUUUCAAAAAUAAUAAUUUCAAGGUCUUGAAUUGAUUUCUGUUUCUUGUAAAUCAUAAAAAAUGAAAGGACAAGUUAAUUAUAUGUCACUCUUGUGCUCUAUUGCUUCUUCGUGAAUAAUAAAGUACACGAAACAUAACCUGCCAUUGUUUGCAAGUAAAUAUCUCUGUAUUCCCUAAGACCCUAGAAAUAAUAUUCUACUCCCUCGACACAAAAUAUAAGACCGAUGUUUUAGAUGAUCUAAAGCCUGACAUCAAAACACUUCAUGCAUAAAGUUUCUCUUCUUGAUAAAGCCCAGUUUUCAAGCAUCAUUCUGCAUCGCAUUGUUAUAAAAGCUUUAUGCACCAUUAGCUUGAUCAAGGAUUAAAUGAAUACACUACUUGCUUCAGUGUCCAUCAUGCUCAUAUCUUCAGGAAUAAAUGAGAAACAACAUUAUGUGGGUUAUGUGAAGGAAGGACUUAGGAGGACUCGUAGAUUACAGCCAAGCAUGUGCAGACUCCCCAGUCCCCCCACCUCCCCUCCCACCCCCCCCCCCCACAACAAUCAGGGAGAGGGGGGGUUGGGGGAAGCCUCUAUGGUUCAGGAAAAUAAUGUUUAGGCCACACAAGGAAUUAACUGUUAGUAAACAUUUGCAAAAUUAAGAAAAAGAAACCAAAUGCAAAAGUACAAAUUCAAUUAUAGUUAAUGAUUCAUUUUCUUUUUCUAAUUUCUAAUUAUUAAGUUUUGUACAAACUGAAAAAAUUAUUUUUGUUGUUACUGCUACAUUUGCUAUCUACAAUGAAAAUGCACAUAUUAACAUUUGAAAGUUGCAAUGAAGUACACUCUCUGCAAAAUGUCAAAUAACGUUUCCUUUUUUUUAGUGUAAGUGGGACGGCUUGAACCUGGGAUCUCUCACUUACUCUCCCCCCCCCCCCCCCCAAAAAAAAAUAAAUAAUGUCUCAUUUUCUGUUUAAUGCAGAUAUUGUUGAGGCCUCUUUCAAAGCAUUAAAAUGGAAUCAGGACCAAAGAGCACUUGUAUGCCUGGGUAAUCUUGCGUAUGUUUCAAGGCCUCAGAAAAUAACAUUUGCAAGAAGAUUCUCUUUUAGCAUAUGCAUAAGGAAAUCAAGGGUAGAGACACUUCAGCAAACUAUAGUUCCAAAUAAUUGGUCUUCAGGAACCCAAAGAGUUGCACAGGACAGGGAAUUAGUAUAAGAUUAAAUCAAACUGGUGGUACCUAUUCAAAUUUUGUCCAAUACGGUAGAUGUACUCAUCCUCCAUUACAUUAACAGAAGGUUUGUUUUCUGAAUAGAAGAGAAAAUGAAAAAGGUAAAUAAACAUUGGCAAGAAUGUCACAACAGUCACAUGAACUACUCAAUAAGUGCAGAUAGAAAACUACCCAACCAUGUUGAGUGCAGAUCGUCAAUCUGUGGAUAAUAAAGUUGGAACCUACAACUAGAAGCUUUGAUUUGGCUACAAAUUCAUGAUAUCCACACAUUAGUAGCUCCACAAGUAUUUGUGUUGACACAAAUUGUAGGAUACAAUUUCUACAGCAUGCCUUGCUAGUUUCUGAAAAGCCUAUGACCUACCCCUCAUUCUUGAGCUAUCUAUGACCAUCAAUAGAGUUCUUCUAUAUAAACCACCUCAUAGGUAACCAGUUUUCCACUCUGUUGUUUAACACCCUUAUACAGAACUUAACCCUAAAAAGUUAAACUAACUCAAAGAAAAUAGUUCUACACUAUCACUGCAAUUUACAAUAGAUAAAUAAAACAGAACAGGAACAUUCCCUACCACCCCAUCCCUUUUUGCACUCCACCAAUACUCAUCAGUCUACAACACAAAUUCCACCACCUAACCCAAACUACAAGUUAGAUCAUGGGAAGGUGAGAGCAAAAAUGACCUUCAAGAGUCCAAACAAAGCCACGCUGUUUCUCAUCAAAGCUAAUGUCAAUGGUGAUUGGAUCAUGGGAAGGUGAGAGCAAAAAUGACCUUCAAGAGUCCCAACAAAGCCACACUGUUUCUCAUCAAAGCUAAUGUCAAUGGUGAUUAUAUUAACAACAAGGGAUUGAUUUGGCAAUUUCUCAGUAGCCCGCUUUUGUAAAGAGCAUACAAUUAAUCCUGGGAUUCAAAAGAUUUCUAUUAGACUAACACAGCAUUGAUGUAUGAGUAGCUAAAGCAACAUAACUAAUGAUGUUUAAUUUUAAAAAAGUAUUAAGAAAAUUAAGAAACCUUUCACUGUGAUCAACCUGAGGCAUUUCGAGUGAAUGAAUAUACUGGAGACGCUUCCAUAAUUGGAAAUAUUUGACUGACAAGAGGUCCUAACUGCAUCAUAGCAUAAUACAACUUCAAAAAUGAGGAAUGUUACAAAAGCAAUAUUAGUUCUUUGAGAGGCAGGAGACAAAAUUUGACACGGAUUCUAAAGCAAGGGCUGAGAAACUGGAGCCCUACCAGUUGAACGAGUAUAGUAACAACUCAUCAUAUAAGCAUAUUUACAAUCAACUCCGCCUUGGUAUAUAAGAUUUAAAAUGAAAUUAAGGUUCAAAAACAUAUGACAAAAUUGAUCCACCAAAUCUCAAGGUAUAAUAUUUAUGCAAUAUCAAAAUAUAAAUUAAACAAACUAGAUAAAUGUUUAGAUCCAAAUUUCCAUAUAAUCCUCAAUGUUGAUUUGCUCGAGUUAAACCAUCACCAAGAUCAUGGAUAUGUUAACUAUAAUGUUGUUUACAUCGAUUCCCAUUUAUACUGAACUAAUUUGUAUUCUUGAAUGAACGGAAGACCGAUAUGACUUCACCCUUUGGAUGAAUAAUAAUUGGUGAACAGUUCAGUAUAAGGACAAAAUUACAACAAUCACAAAUGAACAAAAGUGCGUUAGUUGCUGUAGAAGCCAUCAGCAAGCAGAAGCAUAGAUACUAAAACUCCAAGCAGAAAGAUCUAGAAAUGAAGUGCAAAGUCAGUAAUAUGUACAGACAUACCAUUUCCACAAAUAUAUGCAAUCUACUAUGGACACUCUUUUAAUUUAUAAACUGCAUAUUACACUUUCUACUUCACAUUUUUUUCCCUUUAUUUUCUGAGUUGCUACCUUCAGUUACCAUUUGUCCUGUUUCACUUAUAAGAUUACCCAUUUUCUUGCUCCCUGUAACGUCACCAAUUAUUUCCUUUCCAAAAAAAAAAUCUUCACUUUACAUCAACUUCAUGGCAUAGCUGAAGCAAUAUAAGUUACUCACAACCCACCCAUUAUAUGAGCAUAUACUAUCUGACAUAUUAUAAAAAAUUUUCUUUGUUAAUUGACAGUCAUAGUAUGACAUUGAUGUGAUGGCACCUUUACAUUCCUUUAUGCAUUAGCUUUUUCAUGUUUGUUUUAACAUUUUCCAUCUUAUACAUAUUCCAAUGUAAAGGGAAUAGCAUGACAAUUAAGGAGAUUUUGAGGAUGAUAGGCAUGUGAUCCGACACAACGGGUCAUGUAUACAUCUUUCGACAACUAAGAUGUUACUAUCCAUAGGAUUAUUGAAGGAUUAGUAGAAUUGCACUUGAAAAAGGUAAUAAACUCAUGCCAUGGCAUGAUAAUGAAAGCAAUCUUAGUAGCUAAAGAGCCCUUCAUCCACCAAGUAUGCUCUCAGAAAUGGCAGCAGCUGGGUAAACGUCAAAUAUCUACAGGACAUGACUUUUACUUCACUGGUGGGGGAGGGCUUAGAGUGCAACGCUUCACCAGCAUCUACACUCACAAAUCGUAGAGUUCCCAGAACUCAGACAAACUACAUCAGUCAGUUGUAUCGCUAUCAUAGAUCCUCAAUAGAAACCACGAUUCUUUUAAAUUUACCCUAUAUAUUGGUUUGAAGAUUCAGAGAGGCAAUGAAAGAAUAGGCUGUUUACCUCGUGAAAUUUGAGCAGAAAUUAGAUUUAAGAAGUAGAGGUUAAUUAGAGAUUAGGAGAGGUAAAGGGCAAAAGAAAGGAAGGAAGGAAAGAUGACUACUAAGACUUCACAGGUAAGAGACUAAGAGGGGUUUCGUUCUGAAACUUUCUUGAUUCAAACUCACCCUCAUUUACAAAAACUAAUGCAAGCUAUUAAAAAAGUCUAACACAGCAACCUAAAAGCUUUCUCAUGUAAAAAAAAAAAAGCAGCCAUUCAAGAGUAGAGUCUGUGGCAAUUGUUGUCCACUACAAUAGUAGCUAUGUAGGAUGACCAUUGAACUCCCAACCAUGGGUGGUCUUUGAAAGUCCACCCAUGCCUACCCAUUGGACUUCCAAUCAUGCUUUACCCUUGGACUUCCACUACUAGUUUCAAGUACAGUAUCAUUAUCAGGCAGCCAACUACUUACCAACAAAAGUUGCAGCAACAAGCUCAACAGUUGCACACUGAAAAUUGGCAAAUGAACCACAAUCUGAAUCUUAAAUCAAUUCCAGAGCUAAAAGAUUGUGAAACUGAAGUUUUUUUUCCUUCGAUAUAUUGAUGUCUUUCAUGUCCUGCAUCACACUAGCUAAGCCGUGGCUACAAUUAUUUGAUCCACCCUAGAGCACCAUUACCUGCUUGGCAUAGUAUGCAGCAGCUCUUAUGUCACAUGGUCGGAACUAAGAGGGAAACAAAAUGCCCUAUAUACAAAUCGAAAAGGAUGAUUUUACAAACUAAUCUUAUUAUCCAUAGUAAAAAUGAUAUAUAUGAAAGGAUACCCAAAUCUAAGCAAAUUUGUCAGAUACCACUGAAAUGAAUCAAUUUGCAGGACUCAACUAGGUUGCAGGUGCAACACCAACUUCUACACUCACGAGUUGCUGCCAUCCUGUGCAUGAACUCAUAGAGACUAUUUCAGCAAGUGGCAUAACACAGAUGCAUCCUGACUCACUAAACAUUGUUUUGAACUACUCAAUCUACCCAUAGAAGUCCAUUCCCAGCUUCACAUAUUACAUAACAGCUCUUUAGUCAUUAUGAGCCAGCCAGGAAGAAUUGUAAUCCCCAAAGGUUUUUGGGCUCUUGAAGGGUGGCCUCCAAGAGUUCAUGGCCACAACUGUAUAAGAAAAGGAAAUCCCCAUCCAUGUUCCUUGGAAGCCAGUAAAAGCCAGAACUAGGAACAUGAAAGAAACUAAAGCAUAAACUGCAAAUUUUUCCUUCCCCAGGAGCAUUGCAUGAAUAGCCCAAGUUAUGGCAGUUAGAGAUGAAGGGGGCAAAAAGGGCAAUUUUCUUUCUUCUUUUUUUGUGUGAAGGAAUAAGGGUAAGUACUGUAAAUACUUAAAUAAAGAAAGACCUUUAGCGUUGAAAUAAAUAAAAAAAUAGCAAACAUCCAAUUUAAUAAAGAUUAAUUGCUCAACUUCAACAGCAAAAAAUGUUACAAGCCACCAUUUUUUAUUUUUGGAUAGUCAGGAUAACAGCUAAGCCCCUUAAAUUAGUAUUGGAACAGAAUUACCUGCUCAAAGUAUGGUACUGCCUCUGACGCUGGCCUGUUGUUGUAUGAUAUUAUUGCAUUUGCCUUCAUUGAGAGACAAGUAUAACCUUCAUUAAGUCAAAAAGUACUAAACACUGAACUACAGUGCAUUUUCACACAUUAAAGCUGCAAAAGCAUAACUUUUUAGCUAUAUCUUUCUUAUCUUAAUUAAGUUCAAUUUUGGUUAAGCACUUAUGAAACUUUGGAAGAAAGAAGGAACCUUGGGUAUCUUCUCACAAAAAUAACUUCCAGUAAGCACUUGUAGAAGUGCACCAUUGCUGCAAUUAUAGUUAAACCAAAUAACGUCAAGGAUAGUUUCGUGAUAAGAAUGAAAUAAAAGUUAGAUAAAUUAGAUAGCAUUUUAGGCAUGGUUAUCUAUAACGAAGUCUCAUCGGAAUGAAACUUAGGAGUACUAGCAAGGUUUUUAACCUUGAAGUAUUCUUCAUCACGCUCACCAUUUCAAAGUAAACGUUCCCAGCAUUUUGUUAAUUCAAUCAGUUACAAGUUCCUCCAAUCUAUCCAAGCCUAACUCGAUCAUCUUAUGUUCAAAAAACAAUUCAUUGGACAACUAUCCCAUGUUCAGCUCCAAAACAGCUUUACUGAACCUCUGCUAUGAUAAAAUGAAUGUUGCUAUGAAGGUUAGCAGCUCCAAUACACAUUGAUGUAAAGAUUCCUCAAGAAAAAAAGAGGACACGCCUAACAUCCUCAGGACAAAGUAUAUCAUUGAACAUACAAACUAACAUUAGACAACACAAUUAAGGCUUUAUGAAGUUUAAUUUGUGAUCAUUAAUGCUCAAUUAACCUCCACUCACCUAUGGCCAACCGAGUAAAGUGGAAGAUCAACAAUAUCAUCAGGUGAAAGGCCAUAUUCUGGCAAUUCAGACCCCAAAAUCAAAUCAAAGCCAGCAUGAAACCUCUCAUAAAUCUCCCUAGUUACUUUUUCAUGAUCAAAUGUCGCGUUAUAUGGCACCAAGAUAAUGAAAUAGCCUUCAUUUGCCAGUUGCUCAAGCAAAUAGCUGCCACCACAACAAAAACAACUAAUCAAACAAAACAGAUCAUAAGACUCUAUUAGCAUUUUAGUUUACAAUAGAAAAAAUUGAAUUAACAACCCUCUGUUCUGUAGUAAACAUCACCAGCGCAAUGUCAUCACAGUUUGAAUUUCAAUCAAGUACACCUUGUUUUUCCAGCGCAAUGUUUCCAUCUUCUUUUCCCGAGUUAAAAAAAAAUUACUUCAACCAGAGGAAAAAAUCUUCCAAUAAAAAAAAAUUAACGCUACAAGCAAAUUUAUUUUAGUUUCUGUGUUUCAAGAAUUAACUCAAGGAUUAAUCUAAUAUAGUGUGUUAAAACUGUAGUUGGACAAGCAAGUAGCCACAUAUAUUAAUCCAGAAAUUAAAUUAAAAUGUUCCAUCCCAGAAAUCUAACAGCACUUCAUCAAAAUAGCAAAAAAAAAAAAAAAGACAUGAAAAUUAUCAACUCUAAUAGUCAAGUUUGAAACAGAGAUAUUAACGACAGGCGAAUAUUGAUUGACCUGUAAGAAACUUCGGGGACAGCUCCAACAAAAGCACCUCCCAAAAAUUUAAUAAUGGCUUUGGGUUUUUUCCCUCUUGGAGGAGGAAUGACCAAACAAGACUCAAGCCUGUUGUAAAUUCUACCAUUAUGAUUCACAAAAGAAGUGUUCUUUGGAGCUAUUGGGUUUAACCAUAUUCAUUUGGGUCCUGCAAAUUGUCAUUUUUGAGGGUCUUGCGCAAUUCUCAGUAGGGAAAACCCCUCUGGAGAGAUAAUUGAGGAAAGGGCUUUCUUUAAAUUUGUUGAUUCUUGGAAAGUUGUUGAGAACAGAAGUGGUGCUAGCCACGGCGGCCAUGGCCGGCCUUCUUCACUCGGAGUCGGAGGUUCUAGUUGGGUGUUGGGAGGGGAAAUUUGGAGCUAAAAAUGUGAAGCGCGGGAGGCAGUACGUGGCAUUCUACUUGCGCCUCCUUUGUGUCAGCUACAUUUCCUAUUUAGAUUUGGAGUCUCCGUUUUAGUGGAUUUUGUGCAUUUGUUUGGUGAUAAUCGAGUAAUUGUCUAAUUUCUCCUCUUUUUUUUUUUUUUGGCCUUACGUGCAAUUUGUGUCUUUGAGUCCUUUUUUUUUUUUUGGUCAAAAAUCAUUUGUAUUGUAUUAGUGUAGUAAUCAUUUAUGUACGCAUGUACAAUUAAGAGACUACUGAUUGUAAAAUUUAGAUGUGUCUCUAUUUUAAGGUGCACACGAACUAUAUUUCGUAUUUAAGAUUGGCUAAAUUAUCUUUUUAUUCCCCUGUGGUUUGAUACUUUACCACAUAAUCCCCCUAUGGUUUAAUAAUCUAUAUAUAACCUCUUCAUGGUUUGAGUUAAAAUAUCACCGUUAAUUUUUUCGUUAAAACUAACGAUCAAUAGUAAAAAGUCAAAAUCAAACUAAUAAAUUAACAAAUUUAUGCUUUUAUUACUUCUUUUUUCCCUCCAAACGUAAAAAAGAAGAAAUUGAAAUAAAAACUACAUACAUAAGAACUGGAAAAUACCAUUAAAAUUUUGAUUUGAAAACCUAUAAUGAUAUUUGUAGUAAAAAAAAUUGGUAUUUUUGUUUCUUAUUUAUUUGUUUUAUAUUUCGCUUCCAUCUUUUUUGUUUCUUAUUUAUUUAUUUAUUUAUUUCCCUUCCAUUUGUUUUGUAAUUGGAGAAAGUUAAUAUUUUGUAUUUUAAAUUAUAGAUUUUCAAAAUAAUCUCUUCUCUUCCCAAGAGAGAGAGAGAGAGAGAGAAGAAAAAGAAAAAAAGUAAUGAUAGGGUGAAUUUGUCAAUUUAUUAAUUUGACUUUGACUUUUUACUAUUAACUGUUAGUUUUAAUAGAAAACUAAUAGGGACACUUUAACUCAAACCAUAAGAGAAUUAUAUAUAGGUUUUAAACUAUAGGGGCUUAUGUGGUAAAGCCCAAACCAUAGAGGGUGAAAGGUAUUGAACCCUUUAAGAUUUGGUUUAGUAAUGGUAAAUCUUGUCAAACAGUUGCUAACAUGAUCAAGUUUUUUUUUUUUUUUUUGUGGGUCAAAAGUCAUUCGUAUUGUACCAUUGUAAUAAUCAUUUAUAUAAGCAUGUACACUCAUUUUAAGGCACAUAAAAAACUAUACUUCGCACAUAGGAUUUUGGUUUAGUUGAAUGGUAAAUUUUGUCAAACAAUUGCUAACAUGAUUUUCCUAUUUCUUUACAUAAAAAGAAAACUACACUUACGAAAACAGGUUUGCAGCUUCCAACUAUCUACAAUUUUUUUGGUUGAUCUUAUUUACUACUUGGGAUAAUUGCAGAAACCUCCCUUGACUUUUAUAGUAAUAGCAUUGACCUCCCCUAUCAAUUUUGAAAUAGCACUGAUCUCCCCUAUCAAAAGUUGGAGGCAAUUUAAUAGGUAAAAGUGGGUCAAUUUACUAAAGUACCCCUGACAUGAUUUAAUUUUACCAAAUGAAUGUGAUGAGUACUUUCAUCAAACCCAACAAAACAUUUGUUAAUAACAAUUACACUAAAUUAACUAUUUCUGCAUAGUUUAACUAAUUAACCAAUUAACUAAAUAACUAAUAAUCUAAUUAAUUAAUAACUAAUUAUCUAAUUAACUAAUUAACUAAUUAACUAAUUGUUAAUAGUUAUUAACUAAUCAAACUAUUUCUGCAUAAUUAAACUAAUUAACUAAUUAUCUAAUUAACUAUUAACUAAUUAACUAAUUAUCUAAUUAAUUAAUAAACUAAUUAACUAAUUUCUGUUUAUCCAAUUAACUUAUCUCUAUUUAUCUAAUUAACUAAUUAACUAAAGUUGUUGUCUGUCCGAAACUAAUAAAUUAUUUACAUGUUAAACUAAUUAACUAAUUAGCUGCUUAACUAAUUAACUACCUAAUUAUCUAAUUAACUAAUUAACUAAUUAUCUAAUUUAGUUGUCUAUCCGAAACUAACAAACUAUUUGCAUGUUAAGCUAAUUAACUACUUAACUACUUAACUAAUUAACUAAAGCUGUUGUUUAUCCUAAACUAACAAACUAUUUGCAUGUUAAACUAAUUAACUAAUUAACUGCUUAACUAAUUAACUAACUGAUUAUCCAAUUAAUUAAUUAACUAAUUUUUGUUUAUCUAAUUAACUAAUUAUCUAAUUAACUAAUUAACUAAAUCUGUUGUCUGUCCGAAACUAACAAACUAUUUGCAUGUUAAACUAAUUAACUAAUUAACUACUUAACUAAUUAAUUAUCUAAUUAUCUAAUUAAUUAAUUAACUAAUUAACUAAUUUCUGUUUAUCUAAUUAACUAAUUAACUAAAGCUAUUGUCUAUCCAAAACUAACAAACUAUUUGCAUGUUAAACUAAUUAACUAAUUAACUGCUUAACUAAUUAACUAACUAAUUAUCUAAUUAAUUAAUUAUCUAAUUAAUUAAUUAACUAAUUAACUAAAGCUAUUGUCUGUCUGAAACUAACAAACUAUUUGUAUGUUAAACUAAUUAACUAAUUAACUGCUUAACUAAAUAACUAAUUAAUUAGCUGACUAAUUAACAAACUAUUUGCAUGUUAAACUAUAUGCAGUACGCAUUACCUAUUUAAAGUAUCGGCUCUUUAUAGGUAUUUUACUUUCAAACAUUUAAUUUAUGAUAAAAAUAUCAAUGUUUGUAAGUAAAAUUCAAAAAGUGUUACAAAAAAUAUCAAUAUUCUUACUUUCAAACAUUUAAUUUAUGGCCCUAUGCCCCUCUCUUUUUGUAAGAAUAUUACUGUAACACUUUUGAAUUUUACUUACAAACAUUGAUGUUUGUAUCAUAAAUUAAAUGUUUGACAGUAAAAUACCCAUAAAGAGCCGAUACUUUAAAUAGGUAAUGCGUACUGCAUAUAGUUUAACAUGCAAAUAGUCUGUUAAUUAGUUAGUUAGUUAAUUAGUUGAUUAGUUAAGCAGUUAAUUAGUUAAUUAGUUUCACAUGCAAAUAGUUUGUUAGUUUCAGACAGACAACAGUUUUAGUUAAUUAGUUAAGCAGUUAAUUAGAUAAAUAGAAAUUAGUUAAUUAAUUGAUUAGAUAAUUACUUAAUUAGAUAAUUAGUUAAUUAGUUAAUAAUUAAUCAGAUAAUUAGUUAAUAGUUAAUUAGUUUAACUAUUAACAAAUUAGAUAAUUAGUUAAGCAAUUGUCAAGCAAGAAGAGGGCAAAAUUGGAAGAAAUUUCUUAUCUCACUUCUACAAAAGUUGUCAGGGAGGUUUCUGCAACGAAUUGUUACUGUUCAGGGGAGGUGAAUGCAAUUUCAAAACCUAGAGGGGAGGUCAGUGCAAAUGUCAGAAAUCUCAGGGGAGGUUUCUGCAAUUAUCCCUUACUACUUUUGAGAGCCAAUACUAAUUACUGCUAGCUCUUUUCAAUUGCCAGCAUCAUUGCCUCUAGUAUCGCUAAAGCAUCAGCAGUUUUGGCCUCACGCAUUCUUCGACUGGUAGUGCCCAAGUGACUUUGAGGAUUCCCAAUCCAUCUCUCAAUCUAAUUCACAAACCAACUAUACUUUUGAUGCUGUCUGUGUUUUUAACAGUCAAAAUCUUUUGCUGGUCACUUAAAGAAUUAGCACAAGCUGCUUGUACAUUGCUAGGAUUGCUUCUUCUGUGGUUCUCCCUUGCCUGUUUACCUUUAGGAAUCCCCCCCCUCCCCACCCAAUCUUCUGUGGCUUUCCUGGAAAUCCAGAAUCUAGUUUGCUCAUUAUCAUUGAAGCAACUUUCGUUCCUACCGUUGUGUGUUGGCCACAGCAGAUUCAGAGUCAAUGCAAUAUGCCUCCUUCCUUUUAUUCCUUUUGACUACUUCCUAAAGUUGGAUCCACCGUACUUGGAAGUUCCAUGCAUGACUGCUAAUCCAUCCCAUUGUACAAAGACUGCAUUCCUUGCAUCUUGAACAGAAAUGCAGGAGAAGAACAUGUGUUCUAUUGUUUCAAUGUCCUCACCAGUCACCACACUUCUUGCAUAUAGAAUUGCCUUUAACCAUUCUUUUUUGCUUUUUUGCAGAACUUCAUUUGCGGGGAAUAUAUGGUUCAGACACUUCCAUAUGAAAUGUUUGAUUUUGUGUUGAUAUCAAGUCCCCAUAUAUUUUUCCACAAUCCUGCCAUUAAACUAUUACUGCUAGGCUUACUCCCAUCAGUCUUGUCAUUAUCCUCCAUCUGAUUCUUUGACUUUUCCUGGGAAUACCCAGAGAUCACCAUUUAAACCCCUGUAGAGUUGUGAACCUAUCUUAAUCUUAUCCUUGCCACUAAAAAGAUUUGAGGGGGUAACUCAAAAUUGAUCUGCAAUCCUCUAGAGAGAAUAAAGAUUGAAUUAAUUUUUUAUUCCAUUCUUCAGCCAAACAAUCAAUUGAUUCACUGUGUUUAUUUCACAGAGACUUGGCUUUGCAACUGAUAACUUCCCAGUUUUGGUUUGUGGUAUCAAUCUAUCUUCCCAAAUUUUGAUACUUCUCCCAUCACCUAUAAUUCUCCAUGUCCCUUCUUCUAUCAAUUUGAUAGCACUUUAUAUGUUCUACCAUAUCCGUGAUACUCUUAGGAAUGCAUUAGGCCUUCAGAAUUGAGGUUGUGGGAAAGUACUCUUUCAUUAUUUUGCUAACCAACAACUUUGGAGUAGUGAGAACUCUCCAUUACUUGUUUGGCUAGCAAAAUAGAAUUAAAUUGUUGCAAGUCCCUGAAUCCCAAUCAUCCUUUGCCUUUGACUUCUGUGAUUUUCUUCAAUUGAUCCAAUGAAUCUUCUUGUCACCCUAAUCACUGCCCUACUAAAGCUUGGCCAUAUAUAAGCACAGGUCUUUACAAAUACCUUUUGACAUCUUGAACACUGACAUAGCAUUAUUCAGCAUGAUCAUCGCAACUGAUUUCAACAACACUUCUUUCCCAUCUCGGCCUAGCAUCUUCCCUUUCCAUUCGAGCAGUUUUCCUUUAAUGUAUCCCAAAACCUGAUUCUUUGAUCUUCCAAUCACCAAUGGUUGUCCUAGAUAUUUUCCUUGAUGCACUCUUUGAAUUCCUCCCAAUUGUUGUAGCAGCUCAUAAGCUUGGCUGUUCUUUGUAUUCUGGCUGAAAACAAAAGUUGAUUUCUUAUCCUGAUGCUUUUUCAAGUAGUUGAGAAUUCUCCUAAUCUCCCUUGCAUCCUUUUUUGAAGCUUUGCAAGAGACUAAGGAAUCAUUAGUGAAGAAUAAGUGGGACAGUUUUUGUCCUUUCCUUGAAAUUAUGAGCCCUGUUAUUUUCUUUCGUUCACUUGCAUGCUUGAACAAACUAGUAAAUCCCUCAGUACAAAUGAGAAAUAGAUAUGGGGAGAGGAUCCCUUGCCUGAUUCCUCUUGAAGGCACAAGAGAUCAAAGUGGCAGAGAGAAAGGAAAGGAAUGUGUGAUUCCUCUUUAAGGGAGAGGACACAACCAAGUUUAUCACUAUCAAUAUUAAAGGAAUAAGACACAGAAUUCGGGCAAUUCAUAAUCCAUAAAAUCCAAACAAAGUCCCGCCUUUUUUUUGGAUAAAAAGAAAUUAAUAGUUUUCAAAAAAAAAAAAAAGGAAUGGAUAUCGACUUUAAAAAUUAAAACAGGACUUAAAAUUGUGACUAUUUCGGCCUAAAAGACAUUCUAAAAAAAAUUUUUUGAAAAAAAAAAAGGUAAAUUGCUACUUGAUAUUGGUUUUAUGUAUCAAGCCACCAAAAGGUUUCUGAAAAAAAAUGAGAAAAACUUUUUUAAAUGGCUAGAUCUUUAAAAAUAAGAGAAAAAUGUUGGGGAGUCAUAGUUGGUGAAAGAGAAAACAAAGAUUUGAUUGGCUCGAAACUAAAGGUGCGUUUGAUAAAACUGAAUUUGAAAUCUAAAAUCUUAAGUUUAAAUAUAUUAAAUUAUUGAAUUGUUAAGUAUUAAAUCUAAUACAUGGAGUACAUAUCAUAUCCAGUGAUAAGGGAAUAGCUUAUCACCUAAUUUUAGAAACAAGUUUUGUUUAGAAAAUUUAGUGCCACUUAAUUAAUUCAGAUGUUCAAUUUUUUAUUAUCAAAUAAUCUAAAUAUAUUAAAAUCUAAUUCCAUUAAAUUUAAGUGCUGAAUUGGGUUAUCAAACAGGUCCUAAGACAUAUUUUCAACAUAAUCUAAAUUAGUUGCAAGAUUUAAUCAAAAUUUUCUAAUAUAACUCUCCAACCUAUCACAUUUGGACGUUUUCUGUAUGAAUGCAAAACCUUAAACUUCGGGGAUAUCGAAAGGGAUAAAAUUUUCAUCUAAGAUCUAAUUGCUACCAAUGCAUGAAUUGGGAAGCCCAAAAUAAUCCUUUGAAGGUAUUGUGAGUAAUGCAAAAUAAGACUUGAAGAAAAGAAUUAUUAGAACUUCCAAGUUUAGGUACAAGUGGAUAAGGAAAGGGGAAUACAACAAAUAAUAAUUAUUCAUACUCAACUUACCAUAAUAACUUUAAGUCCAAGGAUCACUUACAUAAAAUGUAAUUUAGAGAUUAAUUCUUUUGGCAUAAAAGAAAUCUUUAUGUGAAUUAAUCUAGUAAAUUUGACCAUACUGUCAAAUACCCAGAUACUAGUUUAGAUGUUUCGCAGCAUAGUAGAUGAGGUCAACUACUUUCCUAAUAGAAGUAACAUAGUAUAUACUAGUCUAACCAUAUUAACAAUGUCCAAUUCUUGUUAAUGCUUAAACUAGAGAUAUUCAAGAAUAAAUUUUACACUUAAUCAAAUGAACCUCACCAUCAUAACACUUGUGAUUUCAUUGACUAAGUUUAUUCUAGGACUUUAUCAUACAAGUAUAAACAUACAUGUAAUCAGUAUGAUAAAGAUGUCAUUUAUUAAUGCAUAAAUAGUUUAAGUACAUAUAAAAUCUCUAAAAGUGAUUAUCAUUAGGGCGUACAUACUUUCAUUUUCUUAUAAGGAUGUGUUUCCUCAUAUUUCAUCCUUAAGUUUCUCACUAAGUUUUGACAAUUCUUUUGCAGAGAUGUUUUCAUAAUGAUUUUUUCAGGGUUUAUGUUGCAUGCAAUUUUUAGUUGCGAGUGGACUCAAAACCCGAUACUCCCAACACAAGUCUCAAAUCCUUACCAAUUGAGUCACGUGAAUAUAUGAAUAUUAUUUAUGAAUAUUAUCUUAAUAAUCAAAGUUCAUUUAAAACUUUCUCACUCAUCACUAAAAAAUGUGGAUGCCUCCCCAUUUUAGUCUUUCAGGUGUCAUUAGCAAGAUAGAUAUGUCCAAUGUAAAUAUUUCUAACCAUUCAAUGCCUAUCUCACAACUAGGGAAAAUUGCUAAAAUAUAGGAUAAGCAUAGGAUGUCAAUGUUACCUUGGCUAGAUAAUUAGGUAGUUAGAAUAAAAUCAAAGUUUAGGAGAUUCUAUAACUUUCAAAUUUAUAGCAUCUGCAAUCUUGGUAUUUUCCAUUAGAGGAUAUUUUGAUUGUAGUUCUAUAUUCUAGGAUUUUCCACAUAUAUAGGUAUGCAUAUUUUUUUUUUAAAUUUUUUUUCUGAUUACAAUUAUGUAGGGGUAAAAUUUUCCUUCAAGACUGAUUUGAUGAUAUCGCAUUAUAUCCAUAGCAUAUUUAAUUAAAUAAAAAAUGGAUAUUGAGGAGGUGAUUUUUGGUUGGUAACUAGACCGACCUGGAUCAGUCCUCUCUGGGAUGAAGUGAGGUGAACUCCUGUGUCCGAAGUGAACCUCCUCGUCCGAAGUGAGUGGCGGGGCUUCUCCCCUGGUAUCACUCCGACGAUCAAGUUAGUAUGAGAACGAGAAUAAUGAGAAUGAGUUAAUGAACAGUGUGCUUACUUGGUGGGAGUAUGAGUGAGGUAUUUAUAGGAGAGUAGAGGACAGAGCGGAGGGCUUACGCUGGUGGGACCCACCCUCUGGUCAUUACGGCUCUGUCCCGUGUCAGGAGGUCUGACUCUGACACUGUAGCUGUCUUGGGUAUGAUGACGGGGAGUAUUGUGUAGGUGCCAUUAAGUGCCUCCAGUGCUUUUCAGGUAAAGCACUGGUCCUGGGUGAUGUCAGAUGGUUCGACAUCAUCAGCGUGCAGCUGAGGCGGGGGUGCCGAGGUCGGCUACACAGUAUGCUAUGGAAACGGCCGAGGCCGAGCUCAGGGAUGAUGUCCGGGACACGGAUGAGCUCCGAUGAGGGACGAGGUGAGUCCACCUCGGCCACUCGGGAUGGCCGAGGUGAGCAUCCUCAAUAAGCCCCCCAAGCCUCGGAUGCUCCGAGCAAGGGAGGUGCCGAGGCUUCCUAGUGCUGAAGUCAUGAAGAGUCGAGGCUCCGAAACCGCUCCGGAAGAUGCGGGGACUCGACACGUGGACGAGUCAGUUGAUA
rnacentral:lncRNA from 1 species